rnacentral:rRNA from 1 species
GUGGACUUGGACCCUGCUGUGUCACAAUGGCUGGUCUGAAAUGCAUGAGUGCACCCUGCUGUAGCAGCGUCUUCAGUGUGAUAAGUAUCUUCACUGAUUCAAGCUCCCCUGUGGGACACGCUUGUCUGGUGGGCUCUGUGCUUCUAACCGUCCACAUGGACAACUCUUGACAAUUUGACCUCAAAUCGGGUGGGACUACCCGCUGAACUUAAGCAUAUCAAUAAGCGGAGGAAAAGAAACUAACAAGGAUUCCCCUAGUAACGGCGAGUGAAGAGGGAAAAGCUCAAAUUUUGAAUCUGGUACCUUUGGUGCCCGAGUUGUAAUCUAGAGAAGUGUUUUCUGCCUUGGACCACGCAUAAAUUCCCUGGAAUGGGGUGUCAUAGAGGGUGAGAAUCCCGUUUGUGGUGUGGACUACCUUGGCUUUGUGAUACACUCUCAACGAGUCGAGUUGUUUGGGAAUGCAGCUCAAAAUGGGUGGUAAAUUCCAUCUAAAGCUAAAUAUUGGCGAGAGACCGAUAGCGAACAAGUACCGUGA